rnacentral:rRNA from 1 species
CACGAAGUAAGCAGAGAUAAACAGGUACUGAAAGUCUGAAACAAAGUUGGCACUUACGCUCACAAGUCACAGGUGACAAGAGAAGCUCGUGCAGAAAAGUCACCGUGCCAUCCCCCGUAGCCACCUUCCCUGGUUAGCUUACUGUUCAAGAUCACAAGAUUCCCAACUGCGCCGUAGAAAGACGGCUCCGGUGAGACCGACUAAAGCGAACGAUAACAAUAUUUGACUUCACCAGCAUUCAGUGAGAAGUCUGUUGGUUGCAGCACGAGGAUCCCACGUUCAUACCCCAGCACCACAGACAAGUUCGGAUCACAGUAUCACACGCGAUUGCAAAGAAAAGUAACGAACCUGUUGUCAUGCCUGGGCCCACCCGGUGUGUGCCUAUAAAAGCAAGUCAUUGUUAAACAAUAACACAGGAGGCCGGUAAGAGUGAGAGAGAGAUCAUCAUCGUACCUUGACGAUGGCUGAGCCUCUGAAGGCAAACGGCAAUGGAGCUGCCGAAGGGGGUGCUGCGGGCUCUGCGUUUGCAUCGGUGAAGGUGCCGCCGUCGCCGCCAAGGAGGCUGCAGAGGUUCGACUCCCUGCAUAUGGAGGCCGGGAAGAUUCCUGGUGGCCACAGCUAUGCAGCCAAGGUCUGUUCUUCCCUUGCUCUCUUCCUCGGUUCGACAGAUAUCUUCAUUUUCUUACAGUAUAUAAGCAAGGGAACUGCAUCCAUCUCGAUUCCUGUUAUGAUGGGUACUUCCUCUGUUCCUCAUAAAACAGCAAACAAAAAUUCACAAAGAAAGAUAACAGUCUGCACUUGUAACAUUACAGACAGCACAGUUUUGUCAAGGAAGGCUGCUAAAAGUAACUAAUGUUUUAUGAUGUCAUCCCAUCAUGGUAGACUUAUCACUUAUGUGAAGCAACUAAACAUAUCAGCUGCUUUAGCAUCAUGAGUUUGCAUAACCAAACAACCCAACAUAUUAAUUAGCUACUUUAGCAUCUUAUAAGCUUGCAUAAUCAAACAACUAAGCAUAUUAAUAAGCUGCUGUCCUUGAGGUGAAUGUAGUAUUUGCAAUCUGACUGAUUUUGUUCUCUUUCUUACCGCAAAGCAGGUUGGCUGGGCGACGACACUGCACUUGGCCUUCCAGAGCCUAGGUGUGGUUUAUGGGGACAUGGGAACUUCACCCCUCUAUGUGUUCUCCAGCACCUUUACUGGUGGGAUCAAGGACACAGAUGACCUCCUUGGUGUCAUGUCCUUGAUAAUCUAUACUGUACUUCUCCUUCCAUUGAUGAAAUAUUGUUUCAUUGUCUUGAGAGCUAAUGACAACGGCGAUGGCGGAACAUUUGCACUUUAUUCCUUGAUAUCUCGGUAUGCUAGGAUUAGCUUGAUACCAAACCAGCAGGCUGAAGAUGCAACAGUCUCUCACUACAAGUUAGAGUCCCCUACGAAUCGUGUCAAGCGGGCUCAUUGGAUUAAGGAAAAGAUGGAAAACAGCCCGAAAUUUAAGGUCAUACUUUUCCUAGUGACAAUUCUAGCAACAUCAAUGGUUAUUGGUGACGGUGUGCUAACUCCAUGUAUUUCAGUGCUUAGUGCAGUUACGGGAAUCAAGCAAUCAGCAAAGUCGUUAACUCAAGGACAAAUUGCUGGCAUCGCAAUCGGCAUUCUGAUCGCCCUCUUUCUUGUCCAGCGCUUUGGCACAGACAAAGUUGGUUACACAUUUGGCCCAGUAAUCUUUAUAUGGUUCAUCUUAAUUGCCGGCAUUGGAAUUUAUAAUUUGAUCAAACAUGAUACUGGAAUUCUGAAAGCAUUCAACCCACAAUACAUAGUGGAAUAUUUCCAAAGAAAUGGGAAGGACGGCUGGAUUUCGCUUGGAGGUGUUAUCUUAUGCAUUACAGGAACCGAAGCAAUGUUUGCUGACCUUGGUCACUUCAAUGUGAGAGCAAUUCAGAUUGGCUUUUCUGCAGUUCUGCUCCCAUCAGUAUUGCUUGCUUACAUGGGACAGGCUGCAUAUCUUCGCAUCCACCCUGAAGAUGUUGCAGAUACAUUCUACAAAUCAAUCCCAGGUCCAUUAUAUUGGCCAACAUUUGUGGUGGCCGUGGCUGCUGCUAUAAUUGCAAGCCAAGCUAUGAUUUCUGGUGCCUUUGCAAUCAUUGCUCAGUCCCAAGUUCUUGGUUGCUUUCCACGGGUUCGUGUCACUCACACCUCAAAAAAGUAUCAUGGGCAGGUCUACAUCCCUGAGAUCAACUAUGCAUUAAUGAUCUUAUGUGUAGCUGUGACAGCUAUUUUCCAAACUACAGACAAGAUUGGCAAUGCAUAUGGUAUCGCUGUCGUCUUUGUGAUGUUCAUAACAACACUUCUAGUCACACUGGUAAUGGCCAUGAUAUGGAAGACAAGUCUGCUGUGGAUUGCACUCUUUCCAAUAAUAUUUGGCGGCGCAGAGCUCGUGUACUUAUCCUCAGCAUUCUACAAAUUUGUAGAAGGUGGCUACUUGCCACUAGGUUUUGCAGCAAUUUUGAUGCUUAUAAUGGGCACAUGGCACUAUGUUCAUGUUCAUCGGUACAAAUACGAGCUCAAGAACAAAGUGUCAAACAACUAUGUGGCAGAUUUGGCAACAAGGAGAAAUCUUGCUAGGUUGCCAGGAAUAGGCGUUCUGUACUCUGAGCUUGUGCAAGGAAUCCCACCCAUACUGCCCCAUUUGGUAGAAAAAGUACCUUCCAUCCAUUCAGUUCUUGUGAUUACCUCAAUAAAGUACUUACCAAUCAGCAAUAUAGAAACAAAUGAGCGGUUCCUCUUCCGAUACGUGGAGCCAAGAGAAUACAGGGUAUUCCGAUGUGUGGUGCGCUAUGGUUACAACAAUAAAGUAGAAGAUCCAAGAGAGUUCGAGAACUUGCUUAUUGGGAACUUGAAGCAAUUCAUCCAUCAAGAAUCACUCUACAGCGAAAGUAGUCAUUCCCUUGAAGGAGAAGAUAAUGCAUUCGAAGAAUCAGGAGAUGCAAUGGAGCCUUCUAUUGAAGUUCAAGAUGCAAGGUUGCCGAAAAGGUUUUUAGAUGGAAUCACUGCUAGCCCAGUGAACGGGUUAAUGGAUGAGAUAGAGUUUAUUCAGAGAGGGAUGGAUGAUGGUGUUGUCCAUCUGCUGGGAGAAACUAAUGUGGUGGCGGAGCAAAAUGCCGGUUUGGUGAAGAAAAUAAUAGUUGACUACGCCUACAAUUUCAUGAGGAAGAACUUCAGGCAACCAGAGAAGAUCACAUGUGUCCCUCAUAACAGGCUGCUGCGGGUGGGAAUGACAUACGAGAUCUAGAGAGAUGCUCAGUGGAUUGAUCAAAUUGACAAUAGCUUCAGUUUUCUCAGUACCAAGUGCAGAAAGGAUAUGCAGAGGAACAGCCUCCUUGACUGAACAGCAGAGGAUGGAGAGAUUUUAUGCGUACAAGUGGUGAAACUACAGUACAUGCAAUAUGUAUUUACCAUAUAAUAUUUUUUUUGUUAGGGAAAUUCUACUGUAUAAGUGUUUGUUAGCAGUAAGUAUGCAUAGCUGUCAAACCCCUAGUUUGGCCAACUCUUUGCCUUAUUGUGGAAAACUCAAAAUCUUAGUAUGUGCAGUUGUACACAAAGAUUGUAACCUACCGGCAAAAGUUAAACAAAUAAUAAAGUAUGACUUGUGUGCAUUCAUCUC